CCUACGGGAGGCAGCAGUGAGGAAUAUUGGUCAAUGGACGAGAGUCUGAACCAGCCAAGUAGCGUGAAGGAUGACUGCCCUAUGGGUUGUAAACUUCUUUUAUAAAGGAAUAAAACUCAGCACGUGUGCCUUUUUGCAUGUACUUUAUGAAUAAGGAUCGGCUAACUCCGUGCCAGCAGCCGCGGUAAUACGGAGGAUCCGAGCGUUAUCCGGAUUUAUUGGGUUUAAAGGGAGCGUAGAUGGGUUGUUAAGUCAGUUGUGAAAGUUUGCGGCUCAACCGUAAAAUUGCAAUUGAUACUGGGAGUCUUGAGUACAGUUGAGGUAGGCGGAAUUCGUGGUGUAGCGGUGAAAUGCUUAGAUAUCACGAAGAACCCCGAUUGCGAAGGCAGCUUACUAAACUGUGACUGACACUGAUGCUCGAAAGUGUGGGUAUCAAACAGGAUUAGAUACCCGAGUAGUC
rnacentral:rRNA from 1 species